rnacentral:rRNA from 1 species
UACGUAGGGGGCAAGCGUUGUCCGGAUUUAUUGGGCGUAAAGAGCGUGUAGGCGGCUAGGUAGGUCCGUUGUGAAAACUCGAGGCUCAACCUCGAGACGCCGAUGGAAACCAUCUGGCUAGAGUCCGGAAGAGGAGAGUGGAAUUCCUGGUGUAGCGGUGAAAUGCGCAGAUAUCAGGAAGAACACCCGUGGCGAAAGCGGCUCUCUGGAACGGUACUGACGCUGAGACGCGAAAGCGUGGGGAGCGAACAGG